GCUCCAGGUGUAUCAUCAGUGAUUCUCCUGACAAUGCAUCAGCCUACAAAAGAUUUGACUGCCUUAAC